rnacentral:rRNA from 1 species
CAGGAUGAACGCUGGCCGGCGUGCCUAACACAUGCAAGUCGAACGAAGCACUUCUGAUCGGAGUAUCGUCGAAGAGUUGGAUUGACUUAGUGGCGGACGGGUGAGUAAUGUAUGAGCAACCUGCCUUUCAGAGGGGGACAACAGUUGGAAACGACUGCUAAUACCGCAUAAUGUAUUGAGACGGCAUCGUCAUGAUACCAAAGGAGUAAUCCGCUGAAAGAUGGGCUCAUAUCUGAUUAGUUAGUUGGCAGGGUAACGGCCUACCAAGACUGCGAUCAGUAGCCGGACUGAGAGGUUGAACGGCCACAUUGGGACUGAGAUACGGCCCAGACUCCUACGGGAGGCAGCAGUGGGGAAUAUUGGGCAAUGGGCGAAAGCCUGAACCCCAGCAACGCCGCGUGAAGGAAGAAGGUCUUCGGAUUGUAAACUUCUUUUAUGAGGGACGAAGGACGUGACGGUACCUCAUGAAUAAGCCACGGCUAACUACGUGCCAGCAGCCGC